UGGGGAAUAUUGGGCAAUGGGAGAAAUCCUGACCCAGCAACGCCGCGUGGAGGACGAAGGCCUUCGGGUUGUAAACUCCUGUCAGCAGGGAAAAAGACUGCAAAAGCUAAUACCUUUUGCAGUUUGAUGGUACCUGCUAAGGAAGCACCGGCUAACUACGUGCCAGCAGCCGCGGUAAUACGUAGGGUGCAAGCGUUAUUCGGAAUCACUGGGCGUAAAGGGCGCGCAGGCGGUUUUGUAAGUCUAAAG
rnacentral:rRNA from 1 species